CCUACGGGAGGCUGCAGUGAGGAAUAUUGGUCAAUGGGCGCGAGUCUGAACCAGCCAAGUAGCGUGAAGGAUGACUGCCCUACGGGUUGUAAACUUCUUUUAUAAAGGAAUAAACUGAGGCACGUGUGCCUUUUUGUAUGUACUUUAUGAAUAAGCAUCGGCUAACUCCGUGCCAGCAGCCGCGGUAAUACGGAGGAUGCGAGCGUUAUCCGGAUUUAUUGGGUUUAAAGGGUGCGUAGGUGGUUAAUUAAGUCAGCGGUGAAAGUUUGUGGCUCAACCAUAGAAUUGCCGUUGAAACUGGUUGACUUGAGUAUAUUUGAGGUAGGCGGAAUGCGUGGUGUAGCGGUGAAAUGCAUAGAUAUCACGCAGAACUCCGAUUGCGAAGGCAGCUUACUAAACUAUAACUGACGCUGAAGCACGAAAGCGUGGGGAUCAAACAGGAUUAGAUACCCCUGUAGUC
rnacentral:rRNA from 1 species